rnacentral:rRNA from 1 species
AUUGAACGCUGGCGGCAGGCUUAACACAUGCAAGUCGAGCGGGGAAAGGUAGCUUGCUACCUGACCUAGCGGCGGACGGGUGAGUAAUGCUUAGGAAUCUGCCUAUUAGUGGGGGACAACAUCUCGAAAGGGAUGCUAAUACCGCAUACGUCCUACGGGAGAAAGCAGGGGACCUUCGGGCCUUGCGCUAAUAGAUGAGCCUAAGUCGGAUUAGCUAGUUGGUGGGGUAAAGGCCUACCAAGGCGACGAUCUGUAGCGGGUCUGAGAGGAUGAUCCGCCACACUGGGACUGAGACACGGCCCAGACUCCUACGGGAGGCAGCAGUGGGGAAUAUUGGACAAUGGGGGGAACCCUGAUCCAGCCAUGCCGCGGGUGGGAAGAAGGCCUUUUGGUUGUAAAGCACUUUAAGCGAGGAGGAGGCUACCGAGAUUAAUACUCUUGGAUAGUGGACGUUACUCGCAGAAUAAGCACCGGCUAACUCUGUG